rnacentral:rRNA from 1 species
GACGAACGCUGGCGGCGUGCUUAACACAUGCAAGUCGAACGAUGAACUUGGAGCUUGCUCUGGGGGAUUAGUGGCGAACGGGUGAGUAACACGUGAGUAACCUGCCCUGGACUCUGGGAUAACUUCGAGAAAUCGGAGCUAAUACCGGAUAGGACCUUGCACCGCAUGGUGUGGGGUGGAAAGUUUUUCGGUUUGGGAUGGACUCGCGGCCUAUCAGGUUGUUGGUGAGGUAAUGGCUUACCACGGCGGCGACGGGUAGCCGGCCUGAGAGGGUGACCGGCCACACGGGGACUGAGACACGGCCCAGACUCCUACGGGAGGCAGCAGUGGGGAAUAUUGCACAAUGGGCGCAAGCCUGAUGCAGCAACGCCGCGUGCGGGAUGACGGCCUUCGGGUUGUAAACCGCUUUUAGUAGGGAAGAAGCCUUCGGGUGACGGUACCUGCAGAAAAAGGACCGGCUAACUACGUGCCAGCCGCCGCAGUAAGAC